rnacentral:rRNA from 1 species
UACGUAGGGUGCGAGCGUUGUCCGGAAUUACUGGGCGUAAAGAGCUCGUAGGUGGUUUGUCGCGUUGUUCGUGAAAACUCACAGCUUAACUGUGGGCGUGCGGGCGAUACGGGCAGACUGGAGUACUGCAGGGGAGACUGGAAUUCCUGGUGUAGCGGUGGAAUGCGCAGAGUAUCAGGAGGAACACCGGUGGCGAAGGCGGGUCUCUGGGCAGUAACUGACGCUGGAGGAGCGAAAGCCGUGGGGAGCGAACAGG